GGGCGAGUGAUGGAAUGGUAGACAUGCAGCGUUCAGAACGCUGUGAGCUUAUGCUCGUGGAGGUUCGACUCCUCUCUCGCCCA
rnacentral:tRNA from 1 species